AUUUAUAUAUUGUUCUUGUAUUUUGUUUUUGUGUUGUAAGCUGCCUAGAGUGGUCCAAAUGACCAGAUAGGCCGGGUAUAAAUGGAAUAAAAUAAAUGAAUAAAUAAAUAAACAACAAUAGCAAUACAAUAUUAUGUAAUGCUAGAUUCCGCAAGGAGUGAAGAAGAGGCAAGAGUUUAGCAAGUACUUACUUUCACUGAAAAAGAACCAUAGUCAUGAUCCUUGAGUGAAAUGCUUUUAAAAGAGUAAAAUAAGACCUUUAUUAGGUAUUGUCACAUUGAUUCUGACUUAUGAUGACCCCAGGAGGAGAUAUUUAAGGAGCGAUUUACCAUUGAUAUACCCUAAUGACUUUCCACAGCCAUCAAGAUUUGAACCCAGGACCCCUGAGACCUGGUCUAGCAUAUUAUCUGCUACAUCACACUGGCUCUCAAUUACCCUGAUUGGGCUACCAAAUCCAUCAAAGAGGCAGACAGGCAACCAGGCAGGCAAUAGCUCACCAGGAUUUAAGCCAGGAAUUGCAGCGGGGAGACUUUGCAUGCAAAGCAGGGGCCGUAACAAAAGACAUUCACCACCGUGAUGGGAAGAUCAUCUGUUGCACAUUUCAAACGAUGCCUUGUUACUGGAGCUCAUACUGCCCUGCUGUGAAGAGGAUCACGCUCUGUCCCAGUGACGUCCAUUUCUGCCCAAACUGUCAUUGUUUCUAAGGAUACCAGAAACCUCUCCUUUCUCUGAAUAAUUGACAGGCAUUAGAAAACAGAGAGCUCUUUAUUGCUGGAUUAAACUAGAAGACGAUACAUAUGAAUGCCUGUAGCCAAUGAACCGUGUCCUCUUGGGUGCUGAAUUUUCACAACGUAUUAAACCAAUGGUGUUGUUGAAAUUAUAGCAACGAAAGACAUAUUUUUGGACCAAGGACACUGAAAUACUCUGGCCUAAUGCAGAUAUUAACACCAUUCUCUGCAAGCAUCCAACAUUUUUUUCUUCUCUUCUGAAUACAGUAUCCCAGCAAAUUCUGGCUGCCAUUAGAAUGAAUGC
rnacentral:lncRNA from 1 species